GCGCAGUCCACCCCGGAGCCGGAAGUGAAAAAUCUCUUUCCACUGGAUGAGACUGCAGUUUCUCCUGCAUGUUCACAUGUCUCCAGGAACUCACUGUAGGCAUCUGUCUGUUCAAAAGGCAUUGCUCAAGAGUGAAGCUUGCAGUUUCAGAAUACAUGUAUUGGAGAAAAGACAUCUGCCAGAAGAACUUCUUUAUUUCCUGCUCAAGACAAUAUUAAGUAGUGAUCAGAUUAUUAUCUGGACCCUCUAAUAAUGAAUUAUGUGCUAAAUUGCUGUACUGUCCCAUAGAUCUAAAAAGAAAUUAGAGACCUUGACCUGCCCUCCACUCCUCGUAUCCUAGGAUGGGUGGAAAAAAAGAAGUUGCAAAUAGACAAGCACCAUGAAUAUGAUCAUGACAUCUUUUCCCUGUUAUGAUGAACUGCCUUUCUGUGAUAGUCCCAAGAUAAUUGACAUCAAUUUUGGCCGGUCUUAACGUCUCCUUUCUCACUUGCUACACUGGGAGUUGGGCUUUUACUCUUCAGAGAGAUUGGAAAGUGAUUGGCACACACAUGUUCUUAAGACAUAAGAUAAAGAAUAUCUUAUUUUCUACCACAUUCUUUAUUACAAUAUAUAAAGUAUUCUUACAAUAAGGCGGUCUGAGCCUUGCUCUGUCAGGCUCUCCCAGUGGCAGUUUUCCAAACUCAUCAGUUCAUAGAAUUAAGUAUUGUAUUACAGCCAUUGGCCAGAAGUAGGCCAGAUUUCUUCUCCCAAGAUUCUCUAAGGGCCUCUAUCCUAUUCCCUCCUUGGAAUCUUUGUUUAAAUUUUGAACAAAUGAGGGAAAUGAUCUUUAAUUUACAAUAAAUAUUUGUAUUGGGCUACUAUCAAGGCAAAAAAAAUGAAAUUAUUUCAGCAGCAACAUAAUACUAUAAAAAUGGCAAGAUUUGUUCCAAGAAUCACAAGGUUCCAAGGUGGCCCAACCUAGGGACUCUAACCCCUUCUGCUUAGAGACUAACUGAAGUUUUGAAUUGUUUGUCGACUUGUUUGAUGUAGUCACCUUGGGAUAGGUCCACAUGUUUUUCAAAUCUCUGGCCUCUUAAUCUUGUAAAACUGGAUAAUUUU